CGAAUAUUCAAUCAGCUAAUUGAAAUUGUCUCUCUUCCAUUGAAAAUAAUUAUUGUCUUGGAGGUUCCAGAUCAGUAGAACUCUGCAGCUGAUCCAAAUAUUCAGUCCAUUUUCUGGAGAGGGACAACUUUGAUUUGUUCUCAUGGUAUGCCCGAAUUCAUGUUUUCUCGGGCUAAUAAUUAAUUUAGUUUAUUGAAUAGUUUAAGUUUUUAUUUGAAAUCUGUAGAGACUCCGCAGUUUACCUAUGGGAUAUUUAUGAUGUUUAUUCAGCAUUUUAUUUAUUUGGAUUUUGUCUAUUUUUAGGAUUAGUAAUUGACUAUAUAUUCGUUCAAGAUACUCUGAUAAGGCUUGCAUGAUUUAAGAAUACUUAAAUUAUGCGCC